rnacentral:rRNA from 1 species
GUCAGUAGCCAUAUCACUCUGCAACUCACAACUGGCAACCCACUGAAGCUAAGCAGGUGUGAGCCUAGUCAGUACCUGGAUGGGAGACCUCCUUGGAAAAAUUAAGGUUGCUACCUGGA